rnacentral:lncRNA from 1 species
CCACACAUGGGAGAGUGCCUAAUAUUAAUUGCUAAUGGAAUUAAGUGACUAGUCAUCAGAGAAAUGCUGAGGAAGAGAAAAAGACGAUGUGUAUCUUCAUAGCCCAGAGUGCAGAGGAAAAAGCUCCCGUGGCUCUUUACUAGACCAAGAAUUUUCAUUCAAAGAUUUCUAUGCCUUUUUCAAGCAUCAGCCAGCAAGGCCUAGAAAUACUCUGACAAUACAGACCUUUCUGCUGGAGCUGUAUACCCAGCGGUGGUGUCUCAGAGGCUGAAAUGAGGCAGCUUCUAAGCUUCUGCUCUGCUGAUGUCGACUUGCACGAGCUCAUGGGCUUGGUGAGCUUCCAGCUCGUAGUCGCUCGUCGCCUUUUUUGGCUCUCCUCCUGGGAUUUGCUGCAUCUUGAUCCAGGUAUCGACACCCGCCAGGAGCAGCGAUCGAUCACGGUAUCAAACCACUCAUCUUUGCAAAAAGAAAAUAAGCUGAUAAAUGGUGUUUGCUCUACUAACUGCCAUUUUCUGCCAAGCUCCUGGAGGACAGGCGAAAGGGAAGAAGAGGUCCUGCUAUUUCUCUGCUGCUUGCAAUGGAAAGAUAAGAACAGGUGCCCACAAACCUGCCAGUUGAGGAAUUAAGCGUUCAAGAUGAAUUUUGAUGUUAAUGAGGCACGCAGAGCGUGCGACGGGCAGCCCCAGAGGAUUCAUCGGGGGCUUGUGCCAGAUACUUGUUGAAAUAAUUGGAAAGACUUCCACUGACUUCAGGAAGCUCCGGUUCCCUUCCUAAUUGCACCCUCCCAUCUUUCUCAGGGACUUGAACCCAGGAAGCUGGAUCUGCUGUGCUGAUGCACCCACAGCUCCCUAAUCUUCUUUCUGUGCCAGAGCUCUGGAAAACCAGUUUGUAUCUGUGCUUCAGUCUUCUGGGUAUGUCAGUUACACGCAUCAGGGCCUCAGUUUCCCCAUCUGCAAAGAUAAAGGUAAUGAUAGCUGCUUCUUUUAAAAUAAUUCCU